UGCUAAGAUAUACACAAACAUGAGAGAG
rnacentral:piRNA from 1 species